AAAAAAGGCGGCCCCCCUCCCACCCACCACCUCCAUUCAAAUUCGCAGCACCGCCCGCACUCACCCAGUCACUCUCCUCGAGCCCAGCUCAGCUCGACACAGCGCAGCGGCUAGGAGGCCGCGAUGGGCGAGGUGGUGCUCAUGUCCAGCGCCGGCACCGGCUGCGGGGGGGAGAGGAAGGCGGCGGACCACCAGGAGAGGCAGGGGCAGCAGCAGGGGCAGGUGCUGGAGCUGCUGCUCGCCGCGCUGCGCAAGUCGGUGGCGCUGCCGNNNNN
rnacentral:lncRNA from 1 species